rnacentral:rRNA from 1 species
ACGAACGCUGGCGGCGUGCUUAACACAUGCAAGUCGCACGGAAAGGCCCUGCUUUUGUGGGGUGCUCGAGUGGCGAACGGGUGAGUAACACGUGAGUAACCUGCCCUUGACUUUGGGAUAACUUCAGGAAACUGGGGCUAAUACCGGAUAGGAGCUCCUGCUGCAUGGUGGGGGUUGGAAAGUUUCGGCGGUUGGGGAUGGACUCGCGGCUUAUCAGCUUGUUGGUGGGGUAGUGGCUUACCAAGGCUUUGACGGGUAGCCGGCCUGAGAGGGUGACCGGCCACAUUGGGACUGAGAUACGGCUCAGACUCCUACGGGAGGCAGCAGUGGGGAAUAUUGCACAAUGGGCGGAAGCCUGAUGCAGCAACGCCGCGUGCGGGAUGACGGCCUUCGGGUUGUAAACCGCUUUCGCCUGUGACGAAGCGUGAGUGACGGUAAUGGGUAAAGAAGCACCGGCUAACUACGUG